GGCAGCAGUAUGUAGGAGGGAGGGUCCUAGGUGUGAGAAGUGUGCAGAGGGGCAUGAGACAGCAGUAUGUAGGAGGGAGGUUCCUAGGUGUGAGAAGUGUGCAGAAGGGCAUGUGGCAGCAGUAUGUAGGGAGGUUCCUAGGUGUGAGAAGUGUGCAGAGGGGCAUGAGACAGCAGUAUGUAGGGGGGAGGUUCCUAGGUGUGAGAAGUGUGCAGAAGGGCAUGAGACAGCAGUGUGUAGGAGGGAGGGUCCUAGGUGUGAGAAGUGUGCAGAAGGGCAUGUGACAGCAGUGUGUAGGAGGGAGGGUCCUAGGUGUGAGAAGUGUGCAGAGGGGCAUGUGGCAGCAGUAUGUAGGAGGGAGGGUCCUAGGUGUGAGAAGUGUGCAGAGGGGCAUGAGACAGCAGUAUGUAGGGAGGUUCCUAGGUGUGAGAAGUGUGCAGAAGGGCAUGUGGCAGCAGUAUGUAGGAGGGAGGUUCCUAGGUGUGAGAAGUGUGCAGAGGGGCAUGUGGCAGCAGUAUGUAGGGAGGUUCCUAGGUGUGAGAAGUGUGCAGAAGGGCAUGUGGCAGCAGUAUGUAGGAGGGAGGUUCCUAGGUGUGAGAAGUGUGCAGAA
ensembl:lncRNA